UUGUUGUAUCCUCGUCAAGCUCAUUCCGGCCUAUGCGACCGAUCGCCACGGGAACAUGACCAUUGGUUGUUUAAAGGCGCCAUUAACCCACCUUAACGCAACCUGUGGACGCGCCCGGUAGCUCGCAGUUAAGCUUCUUGUGAUAGCAAUGAACACCACACAGAUCGGACCCCAAUGUUCCAGCCUGUGUGCUGCUCACAGCUAUCCCGUGCCAGGUCAUAUUUCUAGUCGCUGUUCGUGGUGGCAAAAAUGCACUUUAUAGGGCGCAUCUACGAUUUCGCUGAAAUUUGGUGUGUAGAUGUGGGUUGACCACAGGAAUACGAAUCAGUAGUCCGUUUUAGGGUUAAAGGCCUCCUGAAGGGCCAAAAAACCCCCGUGGAGGGAAGUGGUCCAACCUAGACAAUAUGGGUAUCAAAUAAAAAGUAUUAUCGAAGCGAAAAAAAAUCGCGAGACCGUUUUUAAAAAAUAUUUCUUUAAGAGCUUCAUUUAUUUUUUUUUUGCGUAUCUUUCGUAAUCUCUUCUUCGUACCUUUCAUUUGCCUAUGUUAGCUGGGUUAAAAAUGGUACAUAUUCGUAAUCUACUCUACUUUCAUAUGACAAACACAUUUCGUAGCUUGGACCCUUUCCCCCAGGAGGGGAUUUGGCCCCUAGGGGAGGCACAGGAGCCUUUGCCCCAAAAACAGACUUUCGAUUCAUGUUACUGGGGUCAAAAUCAGGGAGGGUGCAAAAAAUGAAAAAAAACCAGGGGUAAAGUGGAAUUUUCCCCAUCUGACUUACACUGGAUUGGACUAAAACAAAAAACACAGCAAUUAACGUGGCACUUGUCACGUUAACAUCUGAGAGAUAAAAUAACAAAAUCAUGUUUUUCCCUUUUCUUUGGUUUAAAACCUCUAUGGUAGGUCUUCUUUCUAAAAACUUGGCUAUGGAACAAACUUAAAUCUCAAUAUCUCGAAAACAAAUGGAGAUACGUAUAAAUUUCUGAAAGCCAAAGACCGACCCCAACUCAAUAAUGCGUAUGAAAUGGAAUGAAUGAAGUAUUGAAUGGAAUGGAAAACAAAUGGAGAUACGUACAAAUUUCUGAAAAAAAAACAAGUGAAAUCGUGAUAACCUGGUCAACACGAAAUGACACCGAUGAAUCUAUUGUUGAAUGGGGCCUAAAUGAUUUGAGUAACAUGACACUUGGAAGUAGAGAAAAAUUUGUAGAUGGUGGAGAUGAACGACAAACUCAAUAUAUACAUAGGGUAAAGUUAGCUUUUCUUAAAGCUUCCGCCACGUACAUUUACCACUGCGGAAGCAGAAUGGGUUGGUCUAGCAAAUUUUCGUUUGUGACUCCACCAGACGGCUAUAACUGGUCACCAUCAUUGGCUAUAUUUGGCGAUAUGGGUAAUGAGAACGCCCAAUCUCUGGCGCGUCUGCAACAGGACACCCAAAAAGGCAUGUACGAUUGUAUAAUUCAUGUUGGUGAUUUCGCCUACGAUAUGAACACUGACAACAGUCGGAUAGGAGAUGAGUUUAUGCGACAAAUAGAAUCAAUAGCAUCAUACGUUCCUUAUAUGGUUGUGCCAGGAAACCACGAGGAAAAGUACAAUUUUUCCAACUAUCGCGCACGUUUCAGUAUGCCAGGAGGGACAGAAAACAUGUUCUACAGCUUCGAUUUGGGCCCAAUACACUUUAUUGGCAUUUCUACGGAAGUUUAUUAUUUCUUGAAUUACGGACUGAAAUCCUUAGUUUUUCAAUACCAAUGGCUGGAAAACGAUUUAAUGGAGGCCACAAAACCUGAAAAUCGCGGAAAGAGACCCUGGAUAGUCGUUUAUGGGCACAGACCGAUGUACUGUAGCAAUGAGAACGAUAAUGAUUGCACGCAUUCUGAGACCCUAACUAGAGUUGGUUGGCCUUUUCUUCAUUUGUUUGGCCUAGAGGAAUUAUUUUACAAGUAUGGCGUGGAUGUUGAAAUUUGGGCCCACGAACACUCCUAUGAACGUUUGUGGCCCAUAUACAAUUAUAAAGUUCUAAAUGGAUCCAAUGAUGAACCUUAUCGUAAUCCCAGGGCACCGGUUCACAUAGUAACAGGUUCGGCAGGCUGCAAAGAAGGUCGUGAGCCAUUUAUAAAAAAUAUCCCCGAAUGGAGUGCUUUUCAUAGCCAGGAUUUUGGAUACACACGGUUGAAGGCUUUCAAUGCUUCGCAUUUGUAUUUUGAACAAAUAUCGGAUGACAAGAAUGGAGAUGUUAUUGAUUCAUUUUGGAUUAUUAAAGAUAAACAUGGAUCCUAUGAGGCUCCAUAGACCCAGCAUAAAAUGAUUAAGUAUUAGCACAACCUUUGGCAGCACAAAACAUAUAUAUGUAUGUCACGAAAUUACCUAGUACAUACAUACUUGCAUUUUUUUUAUUACAUUCCCAAACAGGUCGUAGCAUAUUUUAGAAACCAUCAGUAACAGUAUUUUAAACGAUAAUUAUGCGAUUUUAGGUAACCCAUGGGUCCCCAAUUUCCAUUUCAAAACUGCACCUUCGUUAUAUAUUUUAUGAAGCAUUUAUAGACUAAUAUAAUAUUUGUUGUAUGUCGUAAAGGGCACUAAAUAUCUAUCCAUAGAGUUAUGUAUUCGUGUUCUAUGUGUUUAACAAUAAAAUCUAUAUUUAUUUUAAAGUAAUACAACAUACAAAUCCACAUAUUAAAGUUUUCCUAAUGGACCGAUUAUUGAAUACAACUCAGCUAUAGUUGCGAAGCCAGAAGAUAAAACCAUGAUAUCAGUAUUCGGGUGUGUUCUGAAACUCACUUUAGCUGGUGAAACGAAAACUUUUCACUUUCACUUUUCACACAUUUCUUGGCACGGCAUACAAACAGAAUUGCUUUAAUUUACAAUGAAAAACACAUUUACGAUGGCAAACACAAAUAAUUUUUACAAUAACAUCAAUUUUAUGUCAAAUUAAAUCAAUUUUAACAAAACAGCACAAAUGUUUGGAUGCUGGUUUUUCUUUCGUAUUUAGGGGUGUGUUUUAAACUGCUGUCUGCAAAUCAUAUGGCUUUGCAAAGCCAUCAUGUUUUAAUUUUUCGAACAGGAAUUCGAAAAAUUGCUUUUCCCUGCUAUGACAGAACAGCUAAUUUGGCAACGGGAAAGUGAAAAGUUAUCGAAAAAUGAAAGUGAGGUGAAACACAAUUGAGUCGGAAGCUUUUUUUAGUUUUAUGCAAGCUUAACCAGUUAUGUGCGUUGACUUCUCGAGCCUCUAGAAGCCCCAUUAAUUCGCUGAUUUGUUUUUUUUUUCGAAACAAUUCAAACUCAGCUUAUUGUGUAAACUUAAAGCCUAGCCAAUAUAAUAACAUAUGUAAUGUGUAAAAAAAACAUGUAUGUGGGUAAAAAAAGAAAAACUAAAUAGUUUCCAGUGACAUUAACAUAAAUGCAAUUAUUUUAAUAUUUUUUAGAAUAGCUUCAACAUCUAAUAUAUCAACACUAAUAUCGUGCACGUCCAUAUCAGAGUACAGACAGUAAGAAGAAGUGUACACAGGCUGUACAGUGUACUUAACAUAGCAAUCCAGUAGUUAUUCCAAGAUUUUUAGCCUUAUCGACAAGCUGUACGGGUUGGAUACAUACCAAUUGCUACAAAUUCAUCAGUAUUUAUAUUCUGGUGUCGAUUUGAGAUUAAGAGACACCAUGUUGUUGUAGGGCUAAUAUAAAGGUUUGGAGGCCUCCGUGCCGCAGAGGUUAGCAUGUCCUCCUAUGACGCCGAUCGCCUGGGUUUCCUUACUAAUGCUGGCUACUUUGGUGGGGUAAUCUGCCUAUGUGGCACGCUGUUCGGACUCGGCAUAAAAAACGAGCGUCUUAUCAAUGAUAUUACUUUAAUCGAGCUGCACUCAUUGAUUUGAGAAAAGUAUCCCCUAUUCCUCAAUUGAAUGUUCAUGGAAAAUUUAGUGGUUAGUAAUAUAAAGGUAAUUGGCAUGAGCCCAGUUGGAAAUAAUGUCCCAAUCUUCAUUGAUUCUUAACAACCCUUGCUUUAUUUCAGAUUUAGGGAGCUCAGAACUGGACAUCAUCAGCAUAUAUAUGUAUAGUAUGUGAGCUGAGAUAGCAGGUCGUUUAUGCCCGCACAUAGAGGGACCACUACGGUCCCAAGCACAUCGAUUAAUUAAAUAUUUUUUUGAUUUCUGUAUUGGUCUUACUUUUGAUGGUUUCCAUGUGGUUGGAUAUUGGCCAGUUGUUAAAAUGGUCUUGAAUAAGUUUGUUAUGCACGACAGUAUGUGCGGUAAAGUAAAUUUUUAUGAAUUUUUGGCGUAGUUAAUCCAAACCAACUGCAUUUGUCUAGGUCUAUAAACCUGCAAUCCUCAUAUACAACAGUAAGGCGAACAAAUGAACAUCCAAACGUUGUGAACUCAGAAAAUAUUGUUGCAUUUGAUAUAACAGUUGAUGUGUGUAUUUUUCCGGUAUCAGUCCCAAGGCUUGUUGCGUUCACUUCAUCAGGAUUUGCAUCAAGAGACAAGACUGCAUCCGAUACUAAUUUUUCUUAUUGUCUUUCACUUUUUUCGAAUCAGUAGCCUCGGGGAAUUUUCCGGCGUAAUAGCUAGCUUUAGUACAAUCAAUUUCCUUAUUUACAUCAGUCCUAGCAGCCCUAUUCUAAAUAACAAUUCCCUGGGAGUUUUUUUUUUUACUUUUUCUGUAUAGCAAUUUCGUAGGAGUUUUAUUUCCCUUCACCCUUUUCCCUUAUUCUAGACAAUCUUCGAACAAAGGAAAUAUCUCCCAGGGACUUUUUCCCUGAAGUAUUCUGAAUUGAGAUAAAAGGGAGAAUGAGGCUAUAAGAUUUGGGAGAAAUUCCCCCAAACAAAGGAAAGGGAGUUAGGAUAAAAAAAAUUUGAAUUUAAUGGUUCUUAAAAAAAUUUAAACACUUUUUACCAUUAAAGAACAAUUCAUUAUGUAGCGAAAUUAAUUUUCACUCUUUCUUCAAAAGCAAGUGCAAAUAUUGUUAGGUUCUUCCGGUUUAAACAUGCCAUGUACCCACCAUAUCGUGUAGCUAUCAAAUAUGUGGUUCAUAUUUUAAUAUUCUUAGACCCAUAUGUAUAAUGAGAUGUCACCAAGUGGCACGGAGUCGAAUACUUACAUGAAGUCCCUUAUCAUCGAGAUUAGAGUAGAAUUGGGCAGCACUCUUUGAAAUGCAAGAAGUCUUCUGCCUGUUCCUUAAGGGAAUGUUCGUGGGAAAAUUUCCAACAUUGCGCUUCAGACCAUCAAUUAUUCAAAAGUACUUGGAGCCACAUUUGGUAGCAUUUACUCCACAGGAGUAGUGUCGCAUUUUCGACAACAAUAUGUCCAGCAGCCGCUCCAACCACCAAGAAAAGCUACCGCCGUCCGGAAAUGUCGAUUAGAUCUUCAAGUUCUAGGUCCAUAAAAGUAGGCCUUUAGAUAAAGCAGCGUAUCAGGAUGACAACCAUAGUAUUCAUGACGACGAAGUAGAACCAAAACUCUAUACUACACACUUAAGUAGCUCUGCCCCAAGAACGAUCCGAUAUAUUCAACCAACUUAACUCCUUUUGACAAGAGAAAGCGCUAACGUGAAGGAUGUGUGCCCGCAUGCAACCAGGGACAAUAAGACACAACCUACAAUCCCAUGGCAGUCGUUUGUACGUACCGGAGUGGCCCGAUGGUAUCCUCAACGGCCAGGGCUGCUGCCUCAGUGUACGUGCUCGUCAUUUUUUUCGUCAUGGGAGAGGCACAUCCCAGAUUGCCUUUUCCGCACGCUUCUGGUCCGUGACGGGAUUGAAAAGAUCGGUCGGGGUCGUUCAGGUGUAACCGGUGCAUGGAGUGGGUCAUUUUCGAUCUUGCUCUGGCCUACGUCACUACUAGAGUAUAGUUGCACUGAAUAUAUUACAAGGUGCUUUGCGAAUAUUGACAGCAGUGGGCCUUCGUGAUACACCAUUCCGUGCAGUGUAGACCCAUCCCGCCUGCGCCUGGCGCUAGUGACAUAUGCUGUCAACUUUGGACAUUUCGAUACUGUGCCGAAAUUCAUCAAAUUUGUUUUUCAGACUUUGUGCAUUGAUGUGAAAGAUAUUCAGUCCAGUUUUCAGUCUACAGAGUGCUCUAAUCAUGUUAAAUGAUCCGUUAUUGGAACCCAAACUACCAUUGUGUAAACGCAUUUAUAAAAAUGGCAACGCCUUUGAAAAAAAAAAAACUAUUACAAAAACAAAAAGAAAUGAUUAUGGAUUGGAAAGACAUUAAAGAGUAUCAGUAGCAUGCCAAAAAAAAACUGAUCAAAAUCCACCUCAUUUGCAAUGUAACUUGUCUCAGUACUGGGGGCAGUGUAAGCCCGCAGAGAGGAAUAGAUCAUGGCGAUUUGUUUUUUUGAACUGCACAAGCAUGUUUAAGAAAUAAUUUUUCGUGUAUGGCUAUAAAAGCUGUAUAUCAGGACUAUGAUUCCCCUUUUACCCUUCGGUCGAUAUAUGGAUUUGUAUGACGGUGUUUCUAUAUUCAGUACCGUGCAUAUAACGUCAGAUGUUUGCCCGAAUUUCUGAGUUAGUAUCAGGUUAUAUACUGUGUGUCGUACGCUGAGGUGGAAGCCCUUGCCGUUGAAGGUGUCCGUCGGGUCAAUCCGGUACGUGGACCAUGGGGUUGGGGGAGAUAUUUUAUGAUGUGAACAAAUGCAAGUAGAAG